GAUGAACGCUGGCGGCGUGCCUAAUACAUGCAAGUCGAGCGAACGGACGAGAAGCUUGCUUUUCUGAUGUUAGCGGCGGACGGGUGAGUAACACGUGGAUAACCUACCUAUAAGACUGGGAUAACUUCGGGAAGCCGGAGCUAAUACCGGAUAAUAUUUUGAACCGCAUGGUUCAAAAGUGAAAGACGGUCUUGCUGUCACUUAUAGAUGGAACCGCGCUGCAUUAGCUAGUUGGUAAGGUAACGGCUUACCAAGGCAACGAUGCAUAGCCGACCUGAGAGGGUGAUCGGCCACACUGGAACUGAGACACGGUCCAGACUCCUACGGGAGGCAGCAGUAGGGAAUCUUCCGCAAUGGGCGAAAGCCUGACGGAGCAACGCCGCGUGAGUGAUGAAGGUCUUCGGAUCGUAAAACUCUGUUAUUAGGGAAGAACAUAUGUGUAAGUAACUGUGCACAUCUUGACGGUACCUAAUCAGAAAGCCACGGCUAACUACGUG
rnacentral:rRNA from 1 species